rnacentral:lncRNA from 1 species
UAAUUUUGAUAUGGCUCAGGAAAUUCUGAUAUUUCUGAAAGAAUGCCUUCUUGUGUAAUAAGAAUCUGUUUACCUCUAACAUCUUUUUUUCCCUCUUCUUUUAAACAUACAGAAUAUUCCUGUGACUCCAUCACUUACAGCUAAUCCUACCAUGGCUUUCAGUCCAUAUGUAUCUCAUACUGGGAUGAGCCUGGUUCCAGCUGAACUUGUACCAAAUACACCUGUUCUGAUUUCUGGAAAUCCACCUCUCCCACUGACAGGAAUUCCUGCUCCAAAGCUGAUGCGUUCAGAUAAACUGGAGGUGUGCCGUGAAUUUCAGCGUGGAAAUUGUACCCGUGGGGAGAACGAUUGCCGUUAUGCUCACCCUACAGAUGUUUCUAUGAUUGAAGCAAGUGAUAAUACUGUGACUAUCUGCAUGGAUUACAUCAAAGGCCGCUGUUCCAGGGAGAGAUGCAAGUAUUUUCAUCCUCCUGCACACUUGCAAGCCAAACUCAAGGCUGCACAUCACCAGGCGAACCAUUCUGGUGCCACCGCGAUGGCCCUACAGCCUGGUGCACUUCAACUGAUACCAAAGAGAUCGGCCCUUGAAAAGACCAACGGUGCCACCCCGGUCUUUAGUCCCACUGUUUUCCACUGCCAACAGGGCCUGGCUAACGUGCAGCUGCCGCAGCCAGCAUUUAUCCCUGCAGGGCCAAUACUGUGCAUGGCACCCGCAACAAGUUUUGGUAGGUUUUGUACAAAAAUUCUCAACUUCUUCUAAUCUGAAAAAUGUGUUUCUCUGCUGUGGCUGUGAAAGAGAUGAGUGACUGAUGUGACUGGACAUUUUCUGAUUUAAGGUUUAAUAUUGUGUUUUGUGUCCCACGUGUUUAUGGAAUCAAAACCGCCCCACUUUCUCAAGACCUAGUUGGUUGCCACUGUGGCCAAAUACAGACUCUUCCAUUUCUCUUAUUUCUGCCCUAACCUAGCAACUGAAAUAUUUUUAAAUGCUUUUUUGCCUAGCCAAACUGAACAAUUUUAUUUUUAGAUUUAUAUCUAUUAUUUUUUUAAAUUGUGCACUAUUUUAAUGUAUAAUUUAUAAAGUACAGUAAAACAAUUCUUGCCCCAAAAAGUUGUUCAUGCUACCCAAACAAUUCAGUACUCAAAUGUUGAGAAAGAAUGACUUGAACAGAGCUACAGCCUUCUGCAGUGUUCUGGAAUGAAUUUUGUAGUGUUCUAAGAUGAAGUUCCAUCUGCACAGAAAAUAGGCACAGCAGAAUCAUUUUAAAAAUGGUGAGGUUAUGUGGUUUUUAGCACACAGAUCCUUUAGUUAGGCACUGACACAAUAUGGUAGCCAUGUCUAAGCUAUUUUUCCAUCACUAUACUGAAGAUGAUGAAAAAGCAAGUAGGAAGUUCACAGCUCUUAGGGUUCUCCUGGGGACCAGGAACAGAUGAGGAGACUGUAGGUUUGUUGAGUGCAGGGAGGAAUGAUCCCACCCUAACCCACCCCAGCAUCUCAUCGAUACAGUUCCUCCCAUCCUUUUGGGGGCGUUUGCAACCACUUGACCCCCAUCCUAUUAUUGGACUAUAGUAGUUACAGAGCCAUAAAGGCACCAGCGGGCCUAUUGAGUUAAAACAAAAGAUCAAAAUAAUGGCCAUGUAGAAGCAACACUCACAUAACAAGGUCUGAACCCUGACAGUAGAAGAGUGAGGCUCUGUUACUGAGCGAUUAGCUGUUCCUUAUAGGAAUGAACAGCAUUUCCAUUGAUACUAACAGGAAGAUUCUAUGCAUAUUAGAAGAAUAGACAGCUACAAAUCUGAGAAAUGUGUCUUUGUGUUCACAUUUUGUGACCUAUUUCUUGGGGAUGCUGCCCUGUCCUUUCACUUCCAGAGCUCUGCUUAGGAAUGCAAAUUGCAUGCUUGCAUGGUGGUGCUACUUCCUGUACAGUUGCUGCAUUCCCAGAGGGUGAACAGGAGUGUUUUUUAAAUUGGCACAUCAGACAAUGAGGCAUAGCUAUAGGUAAUAUGUAACUUGGGAUGAACAGAAGAGAUAAUGAUGAAGUUCUGUUAAACACCAUUUGGGGUAUGUUUUUGUUUCCCGUGACAUUGUGAAUGUUGAUUUUCCUCCUUCUAACCAUUAACUUCCUCAGUAAACUUUCAGAAUAUCUGAAUUCAAUUGAUGUAGACGUGAUAAAUUAUUAUAUAUAUGCUUGCCAUUCACACAUUGCCAUUUGCACAUUAAUUCCCUGGUUGGCUUUCCAAAAUGAGCUGGAAAUUAGAAAAGCAUCCAAAAGCUUUCAAAUGAAAUAGAAACUAGAAAAGGCAAAGAGAAAAACAUCCUAAAAGAGAUUUUGCAGCUGCUAGCCAUUGCAGCCCUAAUAUUUGCUGUCAAGGCAAGAUUUACUAUGAACUACUCCAUGAACUACUCCAUCUAUUUGAUGCAGAGCCAACGAUUCCAAGGAAUUUUCUAGAAGUAUACAUAAAAAUCUGCACAUAUACUUCACUGUGUUCUUUAUAGCUGCUCUCCUACCACAUACCAAUAGAACUAAUUUUUAAUUUUUGCCUGCAGAUCAGGUAAGUAUACAUAAAACUACCCUUUUGCACCUGCAAAUCUAGUGAGGGCACUUAUGUGAAUAAGUCAGUGAAACCUAAACACCAGUUCACAAUUCCCUAAUCCCCUGUCUAAUGUGCAGCUCAGUUACUUGUCUGCUUAAUUAGCUUCAGACAGCCCUGAUAGCAUCGGAUUAUUUUUUCAUGUGCAUUCAUUGUAACCCUUUGUGAAAAUUUGGCCUUUUGAGUCAACUACAAUGUGAUUCUACUCAAAAACUUACUAAAUGUUGAGAAUGGUUCCGCUUUUCUAAAUGAUAACUAUAAUUGGCUUUCCCGUUUUCUCUUUUUUAAUUUUUUCCCCUUCAUGCUGUGUUGCUUUGCACUGAUUUUGAUUGCAUGUUGCACCCUGGUGUGUCCAUCAUGAUGAUGUCACAUGGCUUGUUGCUGUGAUACCUACCACACCCCAUUCCAUCAUCGCAUAUGUCCUGGUGGCAUAAAUGCUCCACCUUCCUGUGAGUUGCUUCCAUGGUUUCCUACUGAAAGUGCCUGUGAUGCACGGUGCUACACCUACCACUAUGUCUGCAGCAACAACACCUGCCACCAGCGUUCCCUUCGCUGCAACAACUACAGGCAAUCAGGUUUGACCAUUUAUUUCACCUGUUGAGACCUAGAUUACAACAUGUUGGAAAGGCACAGUAUAUGUUUUUUGGAUUGGUGACAGAUAUCAGUCUGUACAUUUAUGUGCUUCUUAAGCAAUUGUCAUAUUUAUUAGUUUUCUUUUUGUGCACAUUCUAAGGUACCAUAUGCACUUUCUAUUCAUCCCAAAGUUAAUCAGUGGAAAUUUACUCAUUUUUAAUUGAUGAUCAGAUGUUCUUGAUACCUUGUAUCCAAUUAUUAGUACCACACCAAUCCUAAAAUGCAUAUACUGUACCAAAUAUUAAUUAAGUUCUUCCUCAUUGGUCAAGAGGAGAAUUUAUUUUAAUG